UGGGGAAUAUUGCACAAUGGGCGAAAGCCUGAUGCAGCGACGCCGCGUGAGGGAUGACGGCCUUCGGGUUGUAAACCUCUUUCAGCAGGGACGAAGCGCAAGUGACGGUACCUGCAGAAGAAGCACCGGCUAACUACGUGCCAGCAGCCGCGGUAAUACGUAGGGUGCAAGCGUUGUCCGGAAUUACUGGGCGUAAAGAGUUCGUAGGCGGUUUGUCGCGUCGUUUGUGAAAACCAGCAGCUCAACUGCUGGCUUGCAGGCGAUACGGGCAGACUUGAGUACUGCAGGGGAGACUGGUAUUCCUGGUGUAGCGGUGAAAUGCGCAGAUAUCAGGAGGAACACCGGUGGCGAAGGCGGGUCUCUGGGCAGUAACUGACGCUGAGGAACGAAAGCGUGGGUAGCGAACAGG
rnacentral:rRNA from 1 species